rnacentral:rRNA from 1 species
AGUGAACGCUGGCGGUAGGCCUAACACAUGCAAGUCGAACGGCAGCACAGUAAGAGCUUGCUCUUACGGGUGGCGAGUGGCGGACGGGUGAGGAAUACAUCGGAAUCUACUUUUUCGUGGGGGGUAACGUAGGGAAACUUACGCUAAUACCGCAUACGACCUACGGGUGAAAGCAGGGGAUCUUCGGACCUUGCGCGAUUGAAUGAGCCGAUGUCGGAUUAGCUAGUUGGCGGGGUAAAGGCCCACCAAGGCGACGAUCCGUAGCUGGUCUGAGAGGAUGAUCAGCCACACUGGAACUGAGACACGGUCCAGACUCCUACGGGAGGCAGCAGUGGGGAAUAUUGGACAAUGGGCGCAAGCCUGAUCCAGCCAUACCGCGUGGGUGAAGAAGGCCUUCGGGUUGUAAAGCCCUUUUGUUGGGAAAGAAAAGCAGCAGGUUAAUACCCCGCUGUUCUGACGGUACCCAAAGAAUAAGCACCGGCUAACUUCGUA